rnacentral:lncRNA from 1 species
ACUGGGUUUUCAGUGUGAGUUGGUGUCUCUUUUCUCAAUCAGUUGAUGUGACUGAAUUUUGAGCUUCCUCCUGGAAGUGACACCGUGUGAUACUGGUCUUUCUCUGGCUGACUGGCUUGGCUUCCUGGGGUCCUCGCUAGGUCCUUCUUUGUUGCUGCUGGUGGCAUUCUUUCCUCCUUUUUGGAUGGCUUGUGCCUUUCCCUNNNNNNNNNNNNNNNNNNNNNNNNNNNNNNNNNNNNNNNNAUUUCCCUGUUGGUUGCUUCUGUGGUUUGGCUCUUGGAACUAGUGCUGCCGUGAAGGUUGGGGUGCACGUGUCUUUUCUAAGUGUAGUUUCCUUGGCAACAGGCCCAAGGAUGUGUGCUCCAGAGCUUAGGCCAUUGCUGUCUUGAGGUUUCUUGGGCCCCACUCUGCUGUUCCUUACAGUGGUCGUUAGCUAACUGACAUUCCCAGUGGAGGCAGAAGAGGCUUCCCUUUUCCCAGCCCUCUUCAGGGUUCCUGGUUUGCUCACAUGUGGAUGGUGUCCGUCCUGUGUGCUCAAACGUGAUACCGAGUUGUUGGGUGUUGUUUCCAAUAUUUAUUUUGUAUUGGAGAAGAGCCAUUUGACAGUGACGUGGUCAUUCCAGGUGAACAGCAGAGGUUCUCAGUUGUCUGUAUACGUGCACACCUUUUCACAAAACUGCCCUCCCAUCCGGGCUGCCACAUGACGUCGAGCNNNNNNNNNUCUGUGCUUCACAGUAAGACCUUGUUGGUCAUUUAUUUUAAAUAGAGCUGCGUGUACACAUUGAGCUACCUCCCUAAUGAUCUGGCCCCCACUCUGACCACCGCAUUUUCCCCCUGUGGCAACCUUAAGUUCAUUCUGGAUAUCUGAGUCUGUCUCGAUUUUGUAAAUAUGUUCACUUGUAUGAUUUCCUUUUGGGUGCCACAUGUAAGGGAUGUCACCGGAUACAUUGCUUUUUCCCUUUUCUUAGUUUCCUCGGUGUGUCAGUCUCUGGGUCCAUCCA